rnacentral:rRNA from 1 species
UAAGGAAUAUUGGUCAAUGGACGCAAGUCUGAACCAGCCAUGCCGCGUGAAGGAUUAAGGCCCUCUGGGUUGUAAACUUCUUUUAUAGGGGAAGAAAUAUGACGGUUCUCCGUCACUUGACGGUACCCUGGGAAUAAGCACCGGCUAACUCCGUGCCAGCAGCCGCGGUAAUACGGAGGGUGCAAGCGUUAUCCGGAUUCACUGGGUUUAAAGGGUGCGUAGGUGGGCAGAUAAGUCAGUGGUGAAAUCUUCCGGCUUAACCGGGAAACUGCCGUUGAUACUAUUUGUCUUGAAUAUUGCGGAGGUAAGCGGAAUAUGUCAUGUAGCGGUGAAAUGCUUAGAUAUGACAUAGAACACCAAUUGCGAAGGCAGCUUACUACACAAUCAUUGACACUGAGGCACGAAAGCGUGGGUAGCGAACA